GGGCUGUGCCUUCUAAAUGCCAUUACUGCCCCAUUCAAAGAACUUCCAGCAAGCUGAUCCUCCAUUCCAACAGAAUUGUGGAGCGAGGAUAGAGGUUUCAAGACUACAAUGUCAGAAUCAAGAUAGAUUCCACCAUACUUGUACAAAGCAGCCAAACGAACAAGCUCACUGUAGUGAGUAGAAUAGAACUUUGUCUUUUUCCAUUCA
rnacentral:misc_RNA from 1 species